rnacentral:tRNA from 1 species
CGCUGUAGCUCAGCUGGUAGAGCAACUGAUUUGUAAUCAGUAGGUCGUCAGUUCAAGUCUGACUAGCG